rnacentral:misc_RNA from 1 species
ACAAAAUUUAGAGGAAGUAAAAGUCGUAACAAGGUCUCCGUAGGUGAACCUGCGGAGGGAUCAUUACCGAGUUCUCGCCCCUGUGGGCAGACCUCCCACCCACUGUUAUCGCUACCGUCGUUGCUUUGGCGGGCCGCCGGGCUUCCCCGCGCUCGCCCGCCAGAGGCCUGCAAACACUGAACGUCAGGGUCGUCUGAGCACUACGUGAAUAGUUAAAACUUUCAACAACGGAUCUCUUGGUUCUGGCAUCGAUGAAGAACGCAGC